GACGUAGGGGGCGAGCGUUGUCCGGAUUUACUGGGCGUAAAGCGCGUGCAGGCGGUCCGUUAAGUCUCGUGUGAAAUCCUCCGGCUCAACCGGAGAACGCCGCGGGAUACUGGCGGGCUUGAGGGCGGUAGAGGGUGAUGGAAUUCCCGGUGGAGCGGUGAAAUGCGUAGAUAUCGGGAGGAACGCCAGUGGCGAAGGCGGUCACCUGGGCCGUCCCUGACGCUGAGACGCGAAAGCUGGGGGAGCGAACGGG
rnacentral:rRNA from 1 species